AUUGAACGCUGGCGGCAGGCCUAAUACAUGCAAGUCGAACGAGUGGCGGACGGGUGAGUAAUGUCUGGGAAACUGCCUGAUGGAGGGCGAUAACUACUGGAAACGGUAGCUAAUACCGCAUCCCAUCGGAUGUGCCCAGAUGGGAUUAGCUAGUAGGUGGGGUAAAGGCUAACCUAGGCGACGAUCCAUAGCUGGUCUGAGAGGAUGAGCAGCCAAACUGGAACUGAGACACGGUCCAGAGGCCUACAGUAGGCAGAAGGGUAGAAUAUUGCACAAUGGGCGCAAGACAGAUGCAGCCAUGCGGCGUGUAUGAAGAAGGCCUUCGGGUUGUAAAGUACUUUCAGCGGGGAGGCGUUACCCGCAGAAGAAGCACCGGCUAACUCCGUGCAAGCAGCCGCGGUAAUAC
rnacentral:rRNA from 1 species